AAAUUGAAGAGUUUGAUCAUGGCUCAGAUUGAACGCUGGCGGCAGGCCUAACACAUGCAAGUCGAGCGGUAGCACAGGAGAGCUUGCUCUCUGGGUGACGAGCGGCGGACGGGUGAGUAAUGUCUGGGAAACUGCCUGAUGGAGGGGGAUAACUACUGGAAACGGUAGCUAAUACCGCAUAACGU
rnacentral:rRNA from 1 species